GAGGGUAUAGCUCAGUGCUAGAGUGCGUGCUUAGCAUGUAUGAGGUCCUGGGUUCAAUUCCCAGUACUUACA
rnacentral:tRNA from 1 species